rnacentral:lncRNA from 1 species
CCCAAGGCCACCUUCGUGGGCACACGACCCGAGCAGUCACACAGGACCCUGUGAUCAGAAUGGCCUCACUUGGGUUUAAUACUCUGCUGUCUUCAUCUUAAAAUUCUUAAUAAUUUAAUGUUUGAGCCCGUGCUUUGUAAGUGAAGUCUGAUGGAACAACGGAGCAUGCGCGUGAGUAGAGGAGAUACAGACGAUACGUGUGUCUGAGUUUUUUGUGGCUCCAUUAGCAUAUGGUGUUGAUGAUGCCCCCUGAGCACAGAAUUCUGGUGAGCCCACAAUGCAUGGGAGUUCAGCGAGAUUCAAUGCCAGUACAAGGUCCACUUUUGGAAACUCCCAUCAUGCCUCCUGCCUAUGGAUCAUCUCUUUGGCUGAGAACCGAGCUAACUCACUCAAGAUCCCAAUUAGUGACUCCUCAUGAGAUGGAAGUAAUUCUCCGGCAUCGUCCUCAUUUGAUUUCAGAAAAUCCAGCAGUUCUGGACUUCACAGUUGCACCACACGGUAUUGGGCUGUGGUCUGCUUCCUGGCAACCAAAGGGCAGGACAUAGCCAACCAUACAACUGCAGAGAUCCACAGAGCUACCGUUUGAGGAAUAAGGAACCCUGUACAUAGCCAGGGGCAUUCUAAAAUCCCCAAACUUGAAUCCUACUUCCGACUUUGCUAGGACACCGCAGGAAUUACCAUCAAAGAAGGAAAAAGAUGCACAGAAGUUUCCCAUUCGACAGCUACGAUUCUACAACCCCAUAGUCUUUCUAAACCACAGGCUGCAUUUUC